rnacentral:rRNA from 1 species
UGGGGAAUAUUGCACAAUGGGCGCAAGCCUGAUGCAGCCAUGCCGCGUGUAUGAAGAAGGCCUUCGGGUUGUAAAGUACUUUCAGCGAGGAGGAAGGCGGUAAGGUUAAUAACCUUAUCGAUUGACGUUACUCGCAGAAGAAGCACCGGCUAACUCCGUGCCCGCAGCCGCGGUAAUACGGAGGGUGCAAGCGUUAAUCGGAAUUACUGGGCGUAAAGCGCACGCAGGCGGUCUGUCAAGUCGGAUGUGAAAUCCCCGGUCUCAACCUGGGAACUGCAUUCGAAACUGGCAGGCUAGAGUCUUGUAGAGGGGGGUAGAAUUCCAGGUGUAGCGGUGAAAUGCGUAGAGAUCUGGAGGAAUACCGGUGGCGAAGGCGGCCCCCUGGACAAAGACUGACGCUCAGGUGCGAAAGCGUGGGGAGCAAACA